rnacentral:rRNA from 1 species
UUAAAUUGAAGAGUUUGAUCAUGGCUCAGAUUGAACGCUGGCGGCAGGCCUAACACAUGCAAGUCGAACGGUAACAGGAAGAAGCUUGCUUCUUUGCUGACGAGUGGCGGACGGGUGAGUAAUGUCUGGGAAACUGCCUGAUGGAGGGGGAUAACUACUGGAAACG